CUAGGGACUACCUGCAAACAAAGGUCUCCCAGUAACAAUAAUCAGGCUUUGUUCAAAAGAAAAUAAAAAAUAUAUUUGUUAGUUUCAAGGAAGCAAAGGCUGGAGGACUGACCAGAGAGGACACACCUGACCUCCCUUCCUGGGUGCUUUGCUUCCCAUUUGGAAUUCUGGGAGAAGACUACCUCUCUGUGUGCCCUAUGUCAAGAAGGGGUAGCCAUGGUGGAGUAGAGAACAGUGUCAUGCAGGCUUUGAAAUAUCUCCCUGGUUUCCCACAGCCUACAGAGAGGUGAAUCAGGAGUUCAUGCAUGGCUUAGCGUCAUAAUAAAAGUGUGAAGGGGGUCUGUGGACAACGAGAAGUCCAGGUUUUGGGCAAGAAGGAUACAGACUGGCUGAAAGCCAAGGCAGGGACUGUCACUGGCUGCACAGUUAGAAUCAGCCCAGAGCACAGGUGAAUGCAGGUAUAUCGGCCAGAGAAGGGAGAGAUGAAGGCAGGCAGCCCAGGCCACGCUGGAAGGACAAAGGGCACCUCCAGGAUGCCAACAAGGACCCAGAGGGCAGAGAGUGUACUAACAGUCCUCCCUGUAACCACUGCCAUUAACAUACUCCUCAUUGCAGAAGUCAUCCUUGGGGAGCAGGGGCAGGAGGCAGAGAACCCAAGGUAGAAAACAGCCCUGGACCUUGAAUUAACUAUGAGCCUGAAUCUUUAGAAAAAUUAUCCACAGAAGACUGUUUGAAACCAGGAACAAUUGAUGCCAGUAAUCAUACCAGCAGUGGCAUGAAAGCUAGAGAGCUCCUAGUUGGUACAAACCUGCAGAGAUGGAGGGAGCCCAUGAGACACAGCCAGGAAGUCUGCUGCUUUGGGGCAGGGGCAGGCCCUCUAAUCUGACCAAGAAAUCAGAAGGCCCUGAAGUUGCUGUGGUGGACCAGUGAGGGCAACAGGCAGUGGAGUUCAGCCCCUCAGCAGCCCCCCAAACUGAAGGGCUCAAAAGAACAGGUCCCCAGGUGAUUCUGAUGUUCCAGCAGAUCUGAGAACCACUGAAUUCCAAUAUACUUACCGUGCAAUGAGGAACCUGAAACCCAGAGCGGGAAAUGAUUCACCCAGAGUCACAAAGUGAGUUUAUACAGAGCCAGAUUGCCUCUGAUCUGUGUCUCCACACAAGGAAAAGGAAUGCUGGGGGAUGACCUGAUGAAAUUAACCAAAGGGGACUGCCAACCUCAAUGAGUCAGUCCCCAUUAAACCCCUUUCCCCCUUAACUAGCAGGAAGCUGGUUUGUUUUGCUUGAGUGAUCCAGGAAAGGGGCUCAGGAAGCAGCUGUAGGGCAGUGAAAGGACAAGCUUGGAGUCAGGAGGCCUGGGUUCCAACCUGGCCCUGAGAGUUCCUCAUGACAGUCACUUCACUUCCCAGGGGCUCAUUUGGCUCAUCCAUCUGUAAACAAAGCCCAUCAUAUCACCCUCCCAGGAUCACUGCAGGACCAGUAAGGAAGAUACUGAAUAAUCCAGGUAGGAGAUGACUUCCUUCCUGCCUAAUCUGAAACCACAGAUGUCCAGCCCAAUCUGUUUAUCUUAAGGUUACAACCAGAGCAUCCCUUCCAGCCUGUGGGGCACUCAAAUUCCCUGAUGUGGGCACCACUCACCCACCCUGAUUCCUAGGCCCAGUCCCAGCUUGAUCCCAGUUCCCAGGUGCCAUAAAACUCUAGAAAGGUGGAAACAAGAUUGUAUUUUCUUUUACAGCUAUGAGAGCUGCAGGCUGAGAACAACAUGUAUUUUAAAAAUAACAACCUUCCGAAUGGCCACCGAUGCAUCAAAUACUGGAUUGGGCGUGGUGUUAUUAUAAGACCAAGAGAAUGUAAAACAUCCUGUAACAUAUCUCAGUAGAAGAUCUUUGCCAAGGGAAAGAAAUCUGUCUUCUAUCUAAGAGGAAUGUUUGGUAAUUGUUUGGGCCUUGGAUAAACUCAGGCCAUACGUCUUGGGCCAGGCGUUUACAUUACAGACUAAUCAUGGAGCCCUGUAGUGAAUGCAGACAUUGUGGAGUAAGAGUGAGUUACCGAGAUGAUCAUGGCAGCUUUGACACUUACAGAGAUGUGCAGCCUGUGUCCGGAUGGGGAAUAUUCCAGCCAGGAUACUUCCUUAAAAGGAAAGAUGUAAACACUGGUAUUCCCUGAACGGAACCCAUCUAAGUGGAUCCUGAACUCCCAGCCUAUGCCAUCAGAUAAGAAUGUCAAUGUGGCAGAGGGCGAAGGUGAGAAGGAACCUGUCCAGCUCAGCCUGCUUAGGUCACAUUUUAUUUGCUUUAUCAGCUCCAAGAGAAAUCUGACUUCUGAGGGACCUGUGGGUGUCAGUCACAGUGACUCCUGGUAACUGAGCUAGACAGUGAAAAACAGGCAUUCUCUGUAACAGGGCACUUAGGACUGAUAAGACGACAGAAUAAACACAAGCUUGCCACUCAUGACAGCAGCACAGGCUUAGGCUGGGAGAAAGAAAGAUGAACUUGAGACCUUUGGUUCAGAGAGGUGCUCCCGACUUGCUAAAAAUGAAGCUCUAAAUAGCAGCAGAGGAUAAAUAAGAACAGAAGGAGCUAGAAGGGAAAUGGAUUCACGCAGGAAAAAUACAAAGAAACGCAAAGGCUAGGAGAACAAACAUCUAAAACAAUACUGGCAAAUACAUUGCACAUGUACUGCAAGUGCCCUGCCCCAGGAUUCACGGUGGCCUCACACCCUCCAGGGACCCCCCAGGCAGCCACUAGCAGGGACUGUUUCACGUGCACCUCCCAGGCCUGAAGAGAAAGCCUGGAUUUUCCCCUUCCAGUUAAACAUGGAAGAGAGACUAUCUGCCUUGCCUCCUCUCUCUUCCAAAACCCUACUAAAUUGCCUACUGUUAGGGAAUUUUAAGAUUUUUUUAAUCUAUGAGGACAAAGAAAAAAGAAAGGAGAUACCUACAAAUAAAGAUUUCAGCAAACUUGGAGAAAAGUAGAGGAAAGUGUCGUAAUUGAGUGCAAGUUGCAAACAUUCGUAUCCACUGUGGAGGAAACGGUUGAGAACAAAGCCAUCUGGACUGAUGGACACCCCAGCAGCCCAGCCCUCAGAGGCGCAGGGACCAUGAAAGAUGAGGCUCCAGUUAUGAUGGAAAACUGAGCUACUAAGCUCAUGUUAUGCAGCCAGGCUACCACGGAACCGCCAUGCCCCUCUCCAAGCCGAGGAGAGGUUUACUCUUCAGAGAAACUGAGAAGGGGCUGCAGACUCAGGAACCAGACAUCUCAGAGAACAGAGCUCAGGGCUAGGGGCACCCAGAACCCAUCACAUGUCCACCUCCAUAGGCAGGAUAUUCAAGGAUUCUUCUCUGGAGAAAACUAAGAACCUCAGAGGAAAAAUAUCUACAUAAUGGCAUUUGUGUGCGGGGUUCCAAUAACAACAAAAAGAGCGAGCUCAAAAUCUGUUCUCCUAAAGAACAGUUCAUCAGGUGGGCAUGGUGGUUCACACCUGUAAUCCCAGCACUUUGGGAGGCCAAGGUGGGUAGAUCAUGAGGUCAAGAGAUCGAGACCACGCUGGCCAACAUGGUGAGACCCUGUCUCUACCCAAAAUACAAAAAUUAGCCGAGCAUGGUGGUGGGUGCCUGUAGUCCCAGCUACUUGAAAGGCUGAGGCAGGCCUGGGAGGCAGAGAUUGCAGCAAGCCGAGAUCGUGCCACUGUACUCCAGUCUGGGCAACAAGAGCAGAACUCUCAGAAAAGAAAGAAAAGAAAGAAAGAAAAUAAAAGAAAGAAAGAAAAGAAAAAGAGAAAAGAGAAAGAGAGGAAGGAAGGAAGGAAGCAAAGAAGGAAGGAAGGCAGGCAGGCUCAUCAACCAACUACCCCACCUUUGUAUGCUGAGCUGCACAGCAGGGGUUAUCUGCAGCACAUGCACAUAGAACUUUCAACCUGUCCAAUAUGGAUAUGUGCUAAAAGCUGACAGCCAUUGGGGGAAAGGCCCUGACAAGAAAGGCAGAGUUAACACAAACACAAAAAGAACUUGGAGGUGGGUGGAUAGGCAGGGGGAAAAAAAGAACCUCAAAACUCUUGUUAUAUUCUUAAAGAAUGAUAAUUGAAGUAUGUUAAGAUAGUGCAUCCAUGAAACAAGAACAGAAUGCGAUGUGAAAGGAAUAAUCAGAAACCAGAAGGGUCUCGGAAAUUACAGGGUCAUAAAAAUUAAAGCACUCAACAGAGAAUUUAGAAGAUAGUCAAAGCAAAUUCUCCAGAAAGGAGAAGCAAAAAUAAAAACAGAAAAUAGAAAAGACAUGGAAAUUUGAGAUGUUAUCCAAAAUGGCGUUCCAGAAAUAAAGAACAGAGAAUGUCCAAAGGAGGAAAGUAUCAAAGAAAUACUGAAAGAAAUUACACAAGUAUUAAUUUCUAGCUUGAAAGGGUUCCUCAAAAGGGAUGCGUAGGAGACCACAGAUGUUCAAAGGCCCUCCUCAAGGUACCUCAACAUGAAGUAUGGGAAUACCAGAAAUCAAUAGAAGACCUGAAAAACAUCCACAGGCAAAAUUCAACCACACACAAAACAGAGAAUCAGAAUGGCACUGGUCUUAUCACAAGCAGAAUGCUGGAAGACAAUGAUGGGAUAACUUCAGAAUUCUAAGACACAAAUGAUUUGCAACACUGAUUUCCAAAACUGGUUUAAGUCUGGGGUGCAAUCAACACAUUUUAGAUAUACAAAAUCUAAAAAAAUACUUCCCUUGCACCCUUCCUUAGGAAACUAUUAGAGGAUGUUUCCAGUAACCAAGAAAGCAGAAGGAUGCGGUAGACAGGGGCCGCCACAAGAAAGGAUGCUAGCUAUGCUCCCAGCCUAGAACACAACCAGUCCAGAUUGGAGCAGGAGAGUGGAAGACUAAGGGUAGGAGGCCUCCAAGAAAAAGCAAAAUGCAAAUGGUAGGUUACUUUAUGUUUGAGCACUCAGAAAAACGGAUAGUUGUCAGAAAGAUAUUGCAAUGAUUAAUUUUAUGUGUCAACUUCAUUGGGUCUAGGAUGCCCAGGUAUCCAGGCAAGCAUUAUUCUGGUAAUAACGUGUGUCUUUGAGAGUGUUUCUGGAUGAGAUUAACUCUGGAAUCAGUAGACUGAGUAAAGCAGAUGGCCCUCCUCAAAGUGGGUGGUCAUCAUCCAAUCAGUUGAAGGCCAGAAUAGAACAAAAAGGCUGACCUCCCUCAAGUAAAAGAGAACUCCUGCUUGACUGCUUGAGUUGGAAGGUCGCUCUUCCUGCCUUCGGACCUGAGCUGAAUUAUAGGCGCUUCCUUGUCUCAAGACUUCAGGCUUUCAGAAAGGAAUUAUACCGUCGACUCUCCCGGGUCUCCAACUUGCCAAAUGCAGACCUUGGACUUCUCAGCCUCCCUAACUAUGUGAGCCUGUUCCUUAUAAUGAAUGAAUGAAUCAAUCUAUCUAUCUAUCUAUCUAUCUAUCUAUCUAUCUAUCUAUCUAUCUAUCUAUCUAUUUUGAGAUGAAGUCUCCCUCUUGUUGCCCAGGCUGGAGCAUAGUGGCAUGAUCUUGGUUCACUGCAACCUCCACCUGCCAGGUUCAAGUGAUUCUCCUACCUCAGCCUCCUGAGUAGCUGAGAUUAUAGGCAUACGCCACCAUGCCAGCUAAUUUUUGUAUUUUCAGUAAAGAUGGAGUUUCGCCAUGCUGGCCAGGUUGGUCUGGAACUCCUGACCUCAGGAUCCACCCACGUCGGCUUCCCAAAGUGCUGGAAUUACAGGAGUGAGCCACCUCACCCGACCUAAUGAACCUAUUUCUAUAUAUGCAUACCACUGGUUUUGUUUCUUUGGAGAACCCUAAUACAGAUACGUAGAAAUGUUUGGAAAGUGAUACAUGUGAUAACAUAUGAAAGAACCGCGGUGAACUAUUUUUUCAUAGUCAUAAUAAUGUAGACAGUGACUAUUUAAAAGUUCGGUUGUAACUACAUGGCAGUGAUUAGGGCGGGGAAGUGAGGCUGGGGCAGUGGUUGAUGUAGAGUGUUCAAUCCAGUCACUUUACAAGAAGUCAAGAAGGAAUAUCCAAACUGGAUCAUGCACAUUGUCUAGAAAAAUGAAGGUAAAUGCCAGAAGAAAUAGCUUAAGAAGCUGAUGAUAGUUGCCUCUGGGGAGUGGGAUGGAAUUUGGGGGGAUACUGUUUUUCAUUAUAAGCCUUUUUGGGCUAUUUGAUUUUUAAAUUAUAUGCAUAUGCCCAUAAAUAAAAGCUGACUAAGAAAAGGAAAAAAGAAAGCAAACCAGGUUUCCAGACAUCAAUUACAAUGUGACUAUACAUGCUAAAAAUAAGUCGAUUAUAGUUGGCAGUAGAGACAAGCCUAUUAGCCACCUUUAGCACGUGAUGACAAGUUUACUUAUUUGUAGCCAGCAGUUUUCAGGCAGUUGAAUGUCUUAUGGGUUAUAAGAAAACUACAAAGGUAACUAAUUUAUGUAUUAUGACCAAAAUACUUUUUAAAUUAAGCACUAGUAAAUGAUGUAUCGCUGCACUUCUUAGUAAUCAAAGCCCGAAAUACCUUUAAUUACAAUGCAUUUAGUUUCCUCUUGGCAGCAAAUAACUUUUGCAAGUGCUGAACGUCAUUGUAAACAGUAGUUUUUAAAAGCAAUGCAAGCAAUCCGUUGAUAGAUGUGGAGAUCCCAAAGAGACGCUAAUAGGACAGAGGGGAAAAAAACCCUCUAAAUGACAUUCAAAUGAAAGCUUGGGACUUACUCUCUUGGUCUGUUGCAAGUGGAACUCUCCCUAGCUGAUUUCAGGGGAAAAUAUACUUAAAGGACAUUAGGCAGCCUGCAGAACCUCCAGGAGAGCCAGCUUGGAAGCUACUUAGCCAUGAACAGAGGACAUCCUGUGCCAGCACCAGGCCUAAGGCUACAGACGUGUCUCACACACUGUCGCCCAUGGUCACCAGCACUAUGUAGUAACAAGAUGCAGCAGGGGGACUAAGGCAGCUGGAUCCCAAGCAAAGCUUCCAAUACACUUCUCCCGAUUCCAUCUACUGGGGGAAAUAAAGAACUGGGAAAUGUUCUGUGGGGGCGAUGUGUACCUGCUCUGGGGAAGGGUGGGUGAGGAGAUAUCAGCACAUGUGGAUACUCCCCCCAUGCCCUGGCACCAUCACCUCCUUCUGGAUUCUUUGUCAGGGAGGGAUCAUCCAGCUAGGAAAAUGGAAGAGUGAAUCCUAGUUACUUCUCCCUUGUCGGGAGGAAGCUAGCGGCAAGCAGGAGAUGAAAUGGCAAGAGAAGUCAGGGUAUUUAUUCUGACUUUUCCUGUUCCUCCCUUGUUCCUGGCAUGUCAUAAAGGAAAGGAGUGAGCCUCAGAUGAGGGUUGAGAAGAUAUCAGGUGAGGCUAGAAAAGAAGGUUAGGGCUCUACACACUAUGAUUCUUUGUUCUUAAAGCAGAUUGGCGUUCUUUUUUUUUUUUUUUUUUUUUUUGAGCCAAAGAGGUAUUCAGAUAAUUGUAAUAAUUGAAUUACAGAUUGGUCAAGUUAAUGUCCUCAUACUCAUUUUGCAGUUGCCCAAUCAGUUCCUUUGAAAACCGGACUUUGAAGGAGAACCCCCAAAAGGCAGGCCCUGGUCUCUAUUUCAGACUGGGUUCCCUGAAGCAGAGCUACUCCUUUAUUCAUGGGGGAGGGCCAUGGAAAGUGUGGCAGGGAAGGAGGGAGAGAAAGCAGGAUGGGGCAUGUUUGCAAGCUGACCUCUGCUUGGCGUCCAGUGCAACUGACCCUGGGAUCACAAGCAACCAUCAUAAAAGCAGCAUCAGGACAGUCCAUCAAGAGGGGGAAGGGAAAAGAGUUUCACUAAUUCCCAUCUCCUACCAGUGAGAUGUUCACCCCAGUGGUGCCACCUCCCUACCCUCUUGGUUGCACAUGCCUGAGCAUCCAUGGGACCCUGGGAGUCUUGCCCCUUAGAGUCAACAGCAAGCCCCAGGGUGGCAGACAAGAGGCUAGGAGCUGUGGUGUUUGUCCACAUGAGGACAGCUGUGGCAGGGACUGACCCAAGACCCCUCAGUAGAUUACUUCCAAGAGGAUCUGGGGCAGCACAUGAGAGAUGGCUCAUACAGUGUCUGGCUCAUAAUUAAUUCGCAUUCCAACUUCUGGCAAUAUUUAGCUAUCUUCCUAAAAGGUAAGAGUUGAUUUUAUUUUCAAAAAGCAGUACUAAUAGAGAUCUCUUCCAGUUGGAGAUUUGUCCACUGAGUGUUUAUUAUGCAGAAAUCCCCCAUGCAGAAGACCAUGAAGCCCUGGAAGGUCAUGGUAUUGCUGGAGAAGAAGCCGGAACCCACACACUGCACCAAACGUCAGCACACUUGUUAUGUAAACAAGUAUCACACAUGCAUACAGGAACUAUUUUAAAUGUACGUGGAUGCUGCUGUGAUUGGUAAGAUACGGAAAUUUACUGAAUAAACAGAAUAACUGCAUUCCUAAAGGACCUUUUAUUCUGGAUGUAAUCACUGUGCUGAUUAUUCUCUGCCUUCCCAGAUCUAUUCUCUGCCAUUAUUUGUCCUGUUUUAUGUUCCAGAAAGGAGACCUUGCCCUCUGGCCUCCAGCUGGAUGUGACCAGCAGGAGAUGGAACGCUGAAACCCAUCAUUGCAAAGAGGAGCUAUUGCAAAGACUACUGGAAUGAAAACGUUUGAGAGUUUUUCAUGAACAGCUCAGAUACAUAUGUGUUCUGAGGACUGUGCGAGAUGCCUUCUGUAAAGGAACCCAGCACACUGACUGCCACAGAGAAAAUAUGCCACAAACAUUACUACUAUUAGGUACCAAGUCUUUAAUGAGCUGGGUUCAAGGAAAAAUGCCAUUAACAUGUUCUAAAGUAAAAGACAUCUCUCUCAACACCAAGAAUAUUAGACAACUUAAGGAGAUAAUAUUAACAUUCAAGAAACAGCAAGUGCUAUAAAACCACAUGUGAGCGACAGGGCUGGUAGACUUGGUGUGUUCAAGUUCUUAGUCUACUGGCCCCAUGAGCUUGACCAAGUAACUGUGUACAAUACAGUUAAAAAGAUCUGACCUGCCCACCUCACUGGGCUGUAAUAAAGGUCAGAGAAAUAAUAUACAUGAAAAUGUUCUGGGGGCUAGAGAACUUUAUGUGCAUAUUUCUAAGUAUUACCGUGACUACCAUUAAUUAAAACAGGGUACUCUAUUAUAGGGCCCAGGCUGAAAAGGAUACACAAGCUGAAUAAGGAAGAAAUCAGUGAGAAGUCAGCUAGUUGGGGUUGUCUUCGUGGAUCUGACAAGCUUUGAGUUGUACCCUGAAGAUCAGAUAGAAUCUGGGUAAACGAAUAGCACCGGCAGAAAUCCUGGCCGGAGUCACUGCAUGAGCAAGUUCGUGGUGAUGCGCUUGGUUGAGUGUAAAGUGGAAUGAUGGGAAAGUAAAUGUGGGUUAGUUGUUGGUGUCAGCCUAUGUGGACCGUCAAAGUCAAGGAGCAGAGCUUAGCUAGAACCAAGGCAGAACCAAGGCAGUGCUGGACAGGUAGCUACUCCUAGAAAUAGGACCGUGACAGCUACAGGUUCAACCUCACACAUACACACAUCUCCUUGUCUUUCUUCCUUCCCUCUUUAAAUUUGAUUUCUUACAACUAUACCAGGUUAUGGUACAGUUGAUAUAAAUCAGUGAAUUUUUUUUUUUUUUUUUUUUUUGAGAAGUCUCCCACUGUCACCCGGGCUGGAGUGCAGUGGCAUGAUCUCAACUCACUGUAACCUCCGCCUUCAAGCGAUUCUCCUGCCUCAGCCUCCUGAAUAGCUGGGAUUACAGGCAUCUGCUACCACACCCGGCUAUUUUUUUUUUUUUUUUGUAUUUUUAGUAGAGACAGGGUUUUACUAUGUUGGCCAGGCUGGUCUUGAACUCCUGACCUUGUGAUCUGCCUGCCUCAGCCUCCCAAAGUGCUGGGAUUACAGGCAUGAACCAUCACACCCAGUUUAUCUGUGAACUUUUAAAACACUUUUAAUCCAAGCACCAAAUUUCCUGGGAUUGCUGGAUGCCAUCGUUUGAGUGAGAUGCCAAACAUUCCUCAUUUGGGAAAAUGUGUAAUAGUCCAUGUGGAGAACAAAAUCAAAAUGUGAAGAGUUGAAUAAAAAACACUCCUUUGGAAAUAAAAUAUUGCUCAGUGUAAGUUAGCUAACCUCAUCUUUGGGACUAGAAAAAUAACAGCAAAUAGUAAUAAUAUAAUAGCUAACAUUUAUUACGCCCAUACCAUGUGUCAGGUAUAGGAACUAUUUCACUUAA